UACAGAGGUCCCAAGCGUUGUUCGGAUUCACUGGGCGUAAAGGGUGCGUAGGUGGUUGGGCAAGUCUGAUGUGAAAUCUCCGGGCUUAACCCGGAAAUGGCAUUGGAAACUGCCCGGCUAGAGUGUUGGAGGGGGGACUGGAAUUCUCGGUGUAGCAGUGAAAUGCGUAGAUAUCGAGAGGAACACCAGUGGCGAAGGCGAGUCCCUGGACAACUACUGACACUGAGGCACGAAAGCUAGGGGAGCAAACAGG
rnacentral:rRNA from 1 species